rnacentral:rRNA from 1 species
CGUGCCUAAUACAUGCAAGUCGAGCGAAUGGAUUAAGAGAUUGGCAUAUGAAGUUAGCGGCGGACGGGUGAGUAACACGUGGGUAACCUGCCCAUAAGACUGGGAUAACUCCGGGAAACCGGGGCUAAUACCGGAUAACAUUUUGAACUGCAUGGUUCGAAAUUGAAAGGCGGCUUCGGCUGUCACUUAUGGAUGGACCCGCGUCGCAUUAGCUAGUUGGUGAGGUAACGGCUCACCAAGGCAACGAUGCGUAGCCGACCUGAGAGGGUGAUCGGCCACACUGGGACUGAGACACGGCCCAGACUCCUACGGGAGGCAGCAGUAGGGAAUCUUCCGCAAUGGACGAAAGUCUGACGGAGCAACGCCGCGUGAGUGAUGAAGGCUUUCGUUUUUGUAAAACUCUGUUGUUAGGGAAGAACAAGUGCUAGUUGAAUAAGCUGGCACCUUGACGGUACCUAACCAGAAAGCCACGGCUAACUACGUGCCAACAGCCGCGGUAAUACGUAGGUGGCAAGCGUUAUCCGGAAUUAUUGGGCGUAAAGCGCGCGCAGGUGGUUUCUUAAGUCUGAUGUGAAAGCCCACGGCUCAACCGUGGAGGGUCAUUGGAAACUGGGAGACUUGAGUGCAGAAGAGGAAAGUGGAAUUCCAUGUGUAGCGGUGAAAUGCGUAGAGAUAUGGGAGGAACACCCAGUGGCGAAGGCGACUUUCUGGUCUGUAACUGACACUGAGGGCGCGAAAGCGUGGGGAGCAAACAGGAUUAGAUACCCCUGGUAGUUCACGCCGUAAACGAUGAGUGCUAAGUGUUAGAGGGGUUUCCGCCCUUUAGUGCUGAAGUUAACGCAUUAAAGCACUCCGGCCUGGGGAGUACGGCGCAAGGCUGAAACUCAAAGGAAUUGACGGGGGGCCCGCACAAGCGGUGGAGCUGUGGGUUUAUUCGAAGCACCGCUAAAACCUUACCAGGUCUUGACAUCCUCUGGAAACCCUAAGAUAGGGGCUUCUCCUUCGGGAGCAGAAUGACAGUGGUGCCUAGUUGUC